rnacentral:rRNA from 1 species
AGGACGAACGCUGGCGGCGCGCCUAAAACAUGCAAGUCGAACGAGAAGCCCGGGCUUGCCCGGGUGGACAGUGGCGAACGGGUGAGUAACACGUGAGGAACCUGCCCCGAAGACCGGGACAACACCGGGAAACCGGUGCUAAUACCGGAUGCCUUCACCGGAUCGCAUGGUCUGGUGAAGAAAUGGAUUCCGCUUCGGGAUGGCCUCGCGGCCUAUCAGCUUGUUGGUGAGGUAACGGCCCACCAAGGCAACGACGGGUAGCUGGUCUGAGAGGAUGUCCAGCCACACUGGGACUGAGACACGGCCCAGACUCCUACGGGAGGCAGCAGUUAGGAAUCUUGCGCAAUGGACGAAAGUCUGACGCAGCGACGCCGCGUGCGGGAUGAAUGCCUUCGGGUUGUAAACCGCUUUCAGCAGGGACGAAAUUGACGGUACCUGCAGAAGAGCCCCGGCAACUACGCGCCAGCAGCCGC